rnacentral:rRNA from 1 species
GAUGAACGCUGGCGGCGUGCCUAAUACAUGCAAGUCGAGCGAACAGGCGAGGAGCUUGCUCCUCUGACGUUAGCGGCGGACGGGUGAGUAACACGUGGAUAACCUACCUAUAAGACUGGGAUAACUUCGGGAAACCGGAGCUAAUACCGGAUAAUAUAUUGAACCGCAUGGUUCAAUAGUGAAAGACGGUUUUGCUGUCACUUAUAGAUGGAUCCGCGCGGCAUUAGCUAGUUGGUAAGGUAACGGCUUACCAAGGCAACGAUGCGUAGCCGACCUGAGAGGGGGACAGGCCAAACAGGAACUGGGAAACGGUCCAGACUCCUACGGGAGGCAGCGGUAGGGAAGCUUCCGCAAUGGGCGAAAGCUUGACGGAGCAACGCCGGGUGGGUGAUGAAGGUCUUCGGAUCGUAAAACUCUGUUAUUGGGGAAGAACAAAUGUGUAAGUAACUAUGCACGUCUUGACGGUACCUAAUCAGAAAGCCACGGCUAACUACGU